UAGGGAAUCUUCCACAAUGGACGGAAGUCUGAUGGAGCAACGCCGCGUGAGUGAAGAAGGGUUUCGGCUCGUAAAACUCUGUUGUUAAAGAAGAACAUAUCUGAGAGUAACUGUUCAGGUAUUGACGGUAUUUAACCAGAAAGCCACGGCUAACUACGUGCCAG
rnacentral:rRNA from 1 species